UAAGUGAAGAGUUUGAUCCUGGCUCAGAGUGAACGCUGGCGGUAGGCCUAACACAUGCAAGUCGAACGGCAGCACAGGAGAGCUUGCUCUCUGGGUGGCGAGUGGCGGACGGGUGAGGAAU
rnacentral:rRNA from 1 species